UAGUAGGUGUAAUACCACUUUAAUUUAGAAUGAUCCCUAUUUCUCAGUUCUAUUGUUUGCAUGUGAAAUGUUGUGCAGCCAUGCUUUUAUUAGUUCUCUGUAAGCUUGCUUUAUGGAUAUGCACCUGUGACCAUGAAUGUGCUAGUCUAAAUUUUCUUGAAGUUGAAUUUUAGUGAUG